rnacentral:sRNA from 1 species
AAAUAUAAUAACAUAUUUUAUCUUUCUUAGUAUAAUUUAAAGAAUAAUAGAUUAGAUAUAUAAGGGAAUAAAUCCAUAUUUUUCAUAUCUACAAGUCAAGAAUAUUACAUAUAUAUAUAUGUUUGUGUUAAAUAAAAAAAUUUGUAUAUAUUUACGUGAGCAUUCAUUUGUAUAAUAUUAUGUUUACUCAAGGUUUUUAAUUAUAUGGCGAGUUAUAAUAGAAACAUGUCAUAAUAUGUAAAAUGAUACAUAAAUACACAAAUCAAUAUAGAAAGAUUUGUAUGUUUCACUUUUAAUAAACAUGUGGUCGUUAUUAUUUAAUGAUACGAAAAAGAAAAGAAAAAAGAAAAAAAAAAAAAAAAGAAAAAAAAAAAAAAAAAAAAAUCCUCACAUGACAACACACUAUAAUCUUUAUAUAAAAUAAGGAGCUUCGUACACAGCAUUAAAAGUUAUAAUAUAUUAAAUAUAUUUUAUGAUAUUUUUUUUUAUUUAUAUAUAAAAGAAAUUAAUUUUUAUAAAAGGGAUAA